GGGGUUGUGGCUCAGAGGUAGAGCACUCACCUGGCAUGUGCGAGGCCCUGGGUUUCAUCCUCAGCACCACA
rnacentral:tRNA from 1 species